UCCCUGGUGGUCCAGUGGCUAAGACUCCAUUCUCCCAAUCCUGGGGGCCCAGGUUCAAUCCCUGGUCAGGGAA
rnacentral:tRNA from 1 species